rnacentral:rRNA from 1 species
GAUGAACGCUGGCGGUGUGCCUAAUACAUGCAAGUCGAACGAACGGACGAGAAGCUCGUUCCUCUGAUGUUAGCGGCGGACGGGUGAGUAACACGUGGAUAACCUACUACUAUUACUGGGAUAACUUCGGGAAACCGGUUCUAAUAACGGCUAAUAUUUCGUACCGCAGGGAUCAAAAGUGAUUCACGGCUUUGCCGUUACAUAUAGAUGGUUCCGCGUUGCAUUAGCUAGUUGGUAAGGUAACGGCUUACCAAGGCAACGAUGCUUAGCCGAGCUGAGAGGGUGAUCAGCCACACUGGAACUGAGACACGGUCCAGACUCCUACGGGAGGCAGCAGUAGGGAAUCUUCCGCAAUGGGCGAAAGCCUGACGGAGCCACGCCGCGUGGGUGAUGAAGGUCUUCGGAUCGUAAAGCUCUGUUGUUGGGAAAGAACAUAUGUGUAAGUAACUGUGCACAUCUUGACGGUACCUAAUCAAAAAGCCACGGCUAACUACGUG